AGUGAACGCUGGCGGUAGGCCUAACACAUGCAAGUCGAACGGCAGCAUAGUAAGAGCUUGCUCUUACGGGUGGCGAGUGGCGGACGGGUGAGGAAUACAUCAGAAUCUACUUUUUCGUGGGGGAUAACGUAGGGAAACUUACGCUAAUACCGCAUACGACCUACGGGUGAAAGCAGGGGAUCUUCGGACCUUGCGCGAUUGAAUGAGCCGAUGUCGGAUUAGCUAGUUGGCGGGGUAAAGGCCCACCAAGGCGACGAUCCGUAGCUGGUCUGAGAGGAUGAUCAGCCACACUGGAACUGAGACACGGUCCAGACUCCUACGGGAGGCAGCAGUGGGGAAUAUUGGACAAUGGGCGCAAGCCUGAUCCAGCCAUACCGCGUGGGUGAAGAAGGCCUUCGGGUUGUAAAGCCCUUUUGUUGGGAAAGAAAAGCAGCAGGUUAAUACCCCGCUGUUCUGACGGUACCCAAAGAAUAAGCACCGGCUAACUUCGUG
rnacentral:rRNA from 1 species